GACGACGCUGGCGGCGUGGAUUAGGCAUGCAAGUCGGACGGUAUCAGUCCUUCGGGGUGAGAGAGUGGCGAACUGGUGAGUAACACGUAGGUUAUCUACCCUCAAGACGGGGACAACCCAGGGAAACUUGGGCUAAUACCGGAUGUGAGCAACUUUUAGUUGUUUGAAAGGUGGCGUAAGCUGUCGCUUGGGGAUGAGCCUGCGUCCUAUUAGUUAGUUGGUGAGGUAACGGCUCACCUAGGCAAUGAUAGGUAGGCGGCCUUAACGGGUGGUCGCCCACACUGGGAUUGAGAUACGGCCCAGACUCCUACGGGAGGCAGCAGUCGAGAAUAGUCUACAAUGGUCGGAAGACUGAUAGUGCGACGCCGCGUGAACGAUGAAUCCCUUCGGGGUGUAAAGUUCUUUUAUAUGUGAGCAGUGCUUCUUAUAUUAACAGUAUGGGGAGAGAGAUAUUAGCAUAUGAAUAAGCAACGGCUAACUCCGUG
rnacentral:rRNA from 1 species